UUGAACGCUGGCGGCAGGCCUAACACAUGCAAGUCGAGCGGAUGAAGGGAGCUUGCUCCUGGAUUCAGCGGCGGACGGGUGAGUAAUGCCUAGGAAUCUGCCUGGUAGUGGGGGAUAACGUCCGGAAACGGGCGCUAAUACCGCAUACGUCCUGAGGGAGAAAGUGGGGGAUCUUCGGACCUCACGCUAUCAGAUGAGCCUAGGUCGGAUUAGCUAGUUGGUGGGGUAAAGGCCUACCAAGGCGACGAUCCGUAACUGGUCUGAGAGGAUGAUCAGUCCCACUGGAACUGAGACACGGUCCAGACUCCUACGGGAGGCAGCAGUGGGGAAUAUUGGACAAUGGGCGAAAGCCUGAUCCAGCCAUGCCGCGUGUGUGAAGAAGGUCUUCGGAUUGUAAAGCACUUUAAGUUGGGAGGAAGGGCAGUAAGUUAAUACCUUGCUGUUUUGACGUUACCAACAGAAUAAGCACCGGCUAACUUCGUG
rnacentral:rRNA from 1 species